GAUGAACGCUGGCGGCGUGCCUAAUACAUGCAAGUCGAGCGAACAGACGAGGAGCUUGCUCCUCUGACGUUAGCGGCGGACGGGUGAGUAACACGUGGAUAACCUACCUAUAAGACUGGGAUAACUUCGGGAAACCGGAGCUAAUACCGGAUAAUAUAUUGAACCGCAUGGUUCAAUAGUGAAAGACGGUUUUGCUGUCACUUAUAGAUGGAUCCGCGCCGCAUUAGCUAGUUGGUAAGGUAACGGCUUACCAAGGCAACGAUGCGUAGCCGACCUGAGAGGGUGAUCGGCCACACUGGAACUGAGACACGGUCCAGACUCCUACGGGAGGCAGCAGUAGGGAAUCUUCCGCAAUGGGGGAAAGCUUGACGGAGCAACGCCGCGGGAGUGAUGAAGGUCUUCGGAUCGUAAAACUCUGUUAUUAGGGAAGAACAAAUGUGUAAGUAACUAUGCACGUCUUGACGGUACCUAAUCAGAAAGCCACGGCUAACUACGUG
rnacentral:rRNA from 1 species